rnacentral:rRNA from 1 species
UGGGGAAUUUUGGACAAUGGGCGAAAGCCUGAUCCAGCAAUGCCGCGUGUGUGAAGAAGGCCUUCGGGUUGUAAAGCACUUUUGUCCGGAAAGAAAUCCUUGGCUCUAAUACAGUCGGGGGAUGACGGUACCGGAAGAAUAAGCACCGGCUAACUACGUGCCAGCAGCCGCGGUAAUACGUAGGGUGCAAGCGUUAAUCGGAAUUACUGGGCGUAAAGCGUGCGCAGGCGGUUUGCUAAGACCGAUGUGAAAUCCCCGGGCUCAACCUGGGAACUGCAUUGGUGACUGGCAGGCUAGAGUAUGGCAGAGGGGGGUAGAAUUCCACGUGUAGCAGUGAAAUGCGUAGAGAUGUGGAGGAAUACCGAUGGCGAAGGCAGCCCCCUGGGCCAAUACUGACGCUCAUGCACGAAAGCGUGGGGAGCGAACAGGAUUAGAUACCCUGGUAGUCCACGCCCUAAACGAUGUCAACUAGUUGUUGGGGAUUCAUUUCCUUAGUAACGUAGCUAACGCGUGAAGUUGACCGCCUGGGGAGUACGGUCGCAAGAUUAAAACUUAAAGGAAUUGACGGGGUCAUAGCUGUUUCCU